rnacentral:rRNA from 1 species
AGCAGCCGCGGUAAUUCCAGCUCCAAUAGCGUAUAUUAAAGUUGUUGCAGUUAAAAGCUCGUAGUUGAAUUUCGAGACCGGCUUACUGGUCGUGCUGUUGUACGUACUGGUAUAAUCGGUUUCUCCUUUCUGACGAACUAUAAUGCCAUUAAUUUGGUGUUUUAGGGAAUCAGGACUGUUACUUUGAAGAAAUUAGAGUGUUUAAAGCAGGCUCACGCUUGAAUACAUUAGCAUGGAAUAACGGAAUAGGACGUUUGAUUCUAUUUUGUUGGUUUCUUAGGAUCGACGUAAUGAUUAAUAGGGAUAGUUGGGGGCAUUAGUAUUCAAUUGUCAGAGGUGAAAUUCUUGGAUUUAUUGAAGACUAACUACUGCGAAAGCAUUUGCCAAGGAUGUUUUCAUUAAUCAAGAACGAAAGUUAGGGGAUCGAAGACGAUCAGAUACCGUCGUAGUCUUAACCAUAAACUAUGCCGACUAGGGAUCGGAUGAUGUAAUUUUUAAUGACUCA